AUGCGGUAUGUGCCGCGCGUUGACGUUUGGUGGCGCUCCGAUGCGACCAUCCGAGAGUGGACGGCGCGCCGAGACGACCAGCGAUCGAAUCCCGCCGCGCUCUUUCAGACUCGCCGGACGAUCGCCUUCUCCUCCUCCGGCUCCUCCUCGCUGUCGCCGUCGACCCUGCCGCCGAGGCAGUCGAAGCGCACGCUCCCCUUGGUGGUGGCCGAGCCCACGACGGACCCGUCCGGCGCCUUCUCACGGACGGUUCUUGGCAGCGGCGGCGCCGUCGGGGUCGUAGGGGCGGGCGCUCCCACCGGCUCCGCGUCCGGCGCCCUCCUCGAGGCCGCCCAGAACGGCACCCUGGAGGAGAACGUCCUGGCGAUGAACGACGGCCACCGGUCGGACCGGCCGAUCCGCGCGCUCCGCGCGCCGGCGUCCCGCGCCACCGUGCGGCGCAGGCUCUCCUCGCCCGCGGCCACCAUGUCCCUGCGCACGUGCUCCGGGAGGCGCAGCGUGAACCGCUCCAGGUCGCCGUCGAACCGGGCCGAGAGGGAGUGGCCCGUCGAGUGCGCGCGCGAGAACGGCCGCCCCGACCGCGACCGCACCGCGCGCCGCAGGCUGCCGAUCCGCUCCAGCUCUGCCGCCUCCCUCAUCCUCUCCUCAUGCGCCGCGCCGUCUCCCUCGGGGUCCAUGUCGAUGGCCACCUCCGGCGCCCGCUGCUCCUCCGCACCGGCGCUGUUCUCUUCAGCCGCGGCCGGGGCCGGCUCCUCGGGGGCGAGGCUGCAGCGGCAGACGGGGCAGGUGACGUGGCCGGCGAGCCACUCCCCGAUGCAGUCCGGGUGGAACGCGUGGCUGCACUUGGGGAGGAGCCGGAGCUGGUCCCCGUCCUCGAACUCGCUGAGGCAGACGGCGCACUCGAGCACGGCCGUGUCGUCGCCGUCCUUGUCCCGGAGCGCCCUCGCCUCGGCGUAG
rnacentral:rRNA from 1 species